GCCGAGGUGGUGGAAUAGGUAGACACGCCAUCUUGAGGGGGUGGUGAGCGUAAGCUCGUCAGAGUUCAAAUCUCUGCCUCGGCA
rnacentral:tRNA from 1 species